rnacentral:rRNA from 1 species
AUUGAACGCUGGCGGCAUGCUUUACACAUGCAAGUCGAACGGUAACAGGCUUUGGGGUGCUGACGAGUGGUGAAGAGGGGCGUACUGCAUCGGAAUGUAUCCAGAGGUGGGGGUUAGUGGGGGGUAACCUGUGGUAAUAUACCCUGUGACCUGAGGCUAACAACGGGGGAACGCGGGGCAUCUUUUGGCCUUGCGCGUUUGGAGGAGCCGAUGUCGGAUUAGCUAGUUGGUGGGGUAAAGGCCUACCAAGGCGACGAUCCGUAGCUGGUCUGAGAGGACGACCAGCCACACUGGGACUGAGACACGGCCCAGACUCCUACGGGAGGCAGCAGUGGGGAAUUUUGGACAAUGGGCGCAAGCCUGAUCCAGCAAUACCGCGUGCGUGAAGAAGGCCUUCGGGUUGUAAACCGCUUUUGGCAGGAACGAAACGCUGUCCGCUAAUACCGCGCGCUAAUGACGGUACCUGCAGAAUAAGCACCGGCUAACUUCGUG